AUUCGAUUCUCCUGGAAACGGGUGGUAAUGCCGGAUGCUCCAGUUGGAUGCAUGUCCUUCUGGGAAAGAUUAUAUCGGUAUGGGAUGGGGUCGCGUCCUAUCAGGUAGUCGGCGGGGUAACGGCCCACCGAGCCUACGACGGGUAGCCGGCCUGAGAGGGCGACCGGCCACAUUGGGACUGAGAUACGGCCCAGACUCCUACGGGAGGCAGCAGUGGGGAAUAUUGCACAAUGGGCGCAAGCCUGAUGCAGCGACGCCGCGUGCGGGAUGACGGCCUUCGGGUUGUAAACCGCUUUUGAUCGGGAGCAAGCCUUCGGGUGAGUGUACCUUUCGAAUAAGCACCGGCUAACUACGUGCCAGCAGCCGCGGUAAUACGUAGGGUGCAAGCGUUAUCCGGAAUUAUUGGGCGUAAAGAGCUCGUAGGCGGUUCGUCGCGUCCGGUGUGAAAGUCCAUCGCUUAACGGUGGAUCCGCGCCGGGUACGGGCGGGCUUGAGUGCGGUAGGGGAGACUGGAAUUCCCGGUGUAACGGUGGAAUGUGUAGAUAUCGGGAAGAACACCAAUCACUAGUG
rnacentral:rRNA from 1 species